rnacentral:lncRNA from 1 species
AUUCAGAUUCUGUUUCCUCCUCUGAACUCAUUAGUGUCAUCUUCCUUGUCCUAGGAUGACUGCUGCUAUACAUCCAAGGUUCAUUUCCCCACCGUGGAAGAGCUGAAGAGAGAAAAGAGAAAGGGCAUAGCCUCUAAAGAGGCUCUACCUUUCUACCGAGAAGAAAACCUUCCAUGGCUUCCAGGCCUUGAAAUUUAAAUCUCAGAGCUGUAAAACAAGCAGACUUUAUAGCCCACAUCUUCAGUUGAGUGAAGCGGUCAGGACUGGAGCCAGCCACCUGCUCACAGGACUGUGGAGAAGGAAGAGCUAGGCAGAACCAGCUUUUAUUCGGUCCCCUUCUGCACCACCCCAUGCAAGUGGAAGACUAGGAGGAAGAGAG